rnacentral:piRNA from 1 species
GCCGGAUGUGUGAGGGUGUUUCCUCUAGC